rnacentral:rRNA from 1 species
AGGGAAUCUUCCACAAUGGACGAAAGUCUGAUGGAGCAACGCCGCGUGAGUGAUGAAGGGUUUCGGCUCGUAAAACUCUGUUGUUGGAGAAGAACAGGUGUGAGAGUAACUGUUCACAUCUUGACGGUAUCCAACCAGAAAGCCACGGCUAACUACGUGCCAGCAGCCGCGGUAAUACGUAGGUGGCAAGCGUUGUCCGGAUUUAUUGGGCGUAAAGCGAGCGCAGGCGGUUUUUUAGGUCUGAUGUGAAAGCCUUCGGCUUAACCGGAGAAGUGCAUCGGAAACCGGGAGACUUGAGUGCAGAAGAGGACAGUGGAACUCCAUGUGUAGCGGUGAAAUGCGUAGAUAUAUGGAAGAACACCAGUGGCGAAGGCGGCUGUCUGGUCUGUAACUGACGCUGAGGCUCGAAAGCAUGGGUAGCGAACA